CACGUGCCUUGCCAACAUCUGAAGUGAGAAACCAUACCUAGACAGCAGAGCACACAGAACAGGACUUAAGUAUAAACAACACAACCUCGUGUGCGAAACAGGUCAACAGCACGUCGCCAAAGUCUGAGCCAUCAGCAACAACGCCAACAGCAACAACAAACGCAGUAUAUGCUGAUGAUGACAUGCAUGUUUCACUGCAGAAAAUGAGGCACCUUACCUAAUUACUACAUGUGGGACAUUAGAAGAGUGAGAUGGAACGACGGCGAUGGAUGACACUCACAGGCACGCGCAUAUCACAGGCCAGAAGACCAGAACCUUCCUCGCGUCAAAAGCCUUGCUGUUCAAUCGGGCUAUGGCUGCCUUGAGAUGCUGUCAGUGCUGACGAUAUCGUCGACAAGAAAGCAAGGACGCAAGCGGCGACAGUGUGCUCUUUAACCCUCUCACAUCGGGGGCGAAGGAAAGACGCGUCUCCGAAAAUAAAGAAGAAGAAGAAGAAAAAAGGUGUUCCUGGACGUCACCCAGCAUUGUCGUCUGCUUCGCAACCCGCAUUCUCCCUUGCCGGAUGCCCGAUGAUGCCAGCAGUGUGUUGCCACGGUCCACUGAUACUCUUCACAGAG